UAAGAUAAGAAAAAAGAAAAACCCAGCCUUAUGAGUUGUCGACUUCUAGAUAGUUCUUUGGAAAAAUAUCUGCAUCCCAAACGACUAGCUCUUGGAGAAACAAACAGUCAUAGAAAUCUAAAAAAAAAAUUCUCCUACUCUCUCAUUUGCUCGAGAUGGUGUUGACUCAGUGGUGGCCUUCAUCUCCAUCCCCUAUCAAUUUCCGAAUCGAUCUCUUAUGACCUCUAUGUACCCAUUGAUUCCUAUUCGCCCAGAUAGCCCAAAUGGCGCAGACAAAGAUGCAGCAUUCCUUCUCUUUACUGUGCAACAAUACCCAGGGUAGGGAGGUAGUUGAGAAUGGUUUUCCAAGCUGUAAUACGUACCUUUGAGGGGAGAUUACAAUUCCACAGUUUCUUGUAACAUUUUGUAAUUACAGGCAAACUGUAACCAUUACUGUUGUAAUCAUUGCCUUGUAAUAGUAGUUUGUAACCACUGCGCACAGUAUAUUGGCCUGAUGCUUCUCCCCUCCAUAUCAAAAGAUCAUUAUGUGAACGCUGGGCCAAAGGGAUUUGCAAAAUCUUUGGAACAUCAACUUCCGAAAAGACCUGGCACAUUUGGGACCCAAACAUCUUCUUCUAUACGAAUGUCAUGUCUAUUCCCCACCCUCCAGCACAAUCCCAA